GAUUGGGGCGCAGCCUGAUCUAGCCAUGCCGCGUGAGUGAUGAAGGCCUUAGGGUCGUAAAGCUCUUUCGCCUGUGAUGAUAAUGACAGUAGCAGGUAAAGAAACCCCGGCUAACUCCGUGCCAGCAGCCGCGGUAAUACGGAGGGGGUUAGCGUUGUUCGGAAUUACUGGGCGUAAAGCGCGCGUAGGCGGAUUAGAAAGUUGGGGGUGAAAUCCCGGGGCUCAACCCCGGAACUGCCUCCAAAACUGCUAGUCUAGAGUUCGAGAGAGGUGAGUGGAAUUCCGAGUGUAGAGGUGAAAUUCGUAGAUAUUCGGAGGAACACCAGUGGCGAAGGCGGCUCACUGGCUCGAUACUGACGCUGAGGUGCGAAAGUGUGGGGAGCAAACAGGAUUAGAUACCCUGGUAGUCCACACCGUAAACGAUGAAUGCCAGUCGUCGGGUAGUAUACUAUUCGGUGACACACCUAACGGAUUAAGCAUUCCGCCUGGGGAGUACGGUCGCAAGAUUAAAACUCAAAGGAAUUGACGGA
rnacentral:rRNA from 1 species